GGGGGUGACCGGCUUUGACGGUCUGUACCUUGAAAGAUGUGCGACGCAGUGCACGCUCGUAUGCCACUUAAAUCCGCCCGAGCAACCAAACUUGCCAAGAACACUCUUGCAAGCGUGAAGUCCCCGUACUUCGGUAUGAAGGACUUCGCGUUCGCGUUUGCGAAAGUCUAACGACCAACGCCGCGCGACGUUCAUCCUCCACUGGUUUCUACAGCAGGAGGGAUGGGCGGAAUUAUCUGUAGAAUCGAUGCUCGGAAUCCCGACCGGCGCAUCUAAAUAAGGGAUCGGGUAGGAAUGGUUUCGUCUGCGUUCCUCGCAUCCUACCUUAAAGAUAACGCUGACUAUGCGUCGUAGACUCUCUUUCUUGGCCAGAUUCGGACCGGGGUCCAAUUCCCCGCACCUCCACAA
rnacentral:tmRNA from 1 species